rnacentral:rRNA from 1 species
CUUCCGUAGGUGAACCUGCGGAAGGAUCAUUACCGAGCGUGAGACCUGGGGCCGGCAUAUGUCGUGCCUUGGGUCGACCCUCCACCCGUGCCGACUUUUCUUGUGUUGCUUUGGCGGACCGGGUACUGCCCACCGGCUCCGGCUGGAGCGUGUCCGCCAAAGACGUUAACCUAACUCGUGUUAUUGGUGAUGUCUGAAGAAAAUAUAGAAUUGUUAAAACUUUCAACAACGGAUCUCUUGGCUCUGGCAUCGAUGAAGAACGCAGCGAAAUGCGAUAAGUAAUGUGAAUUGCAGAAUUUAGUGAAUCAUCGAAUCUUUGAACGCACAUUGCGCCCUUUGGUAUUCCGAGGGGCAUGCCUGUUCGAGCGUCAUCACACCUCCUCAAGCCGCCGCGUGUGGUUUUGGUGUUGGGGCUCGCCGCGCGCGGCGACCCUUAAAGACAGUGGCGGGACCGUCGACAACUCUCCGCGUAGUACUACUUCUCGCGACAGAGCAGUGGCGGCGCCCAGCCAAUUCAACCCUUCCUAUUUCUAUACAGGUUGACCUCGAAUCAGGCAGGAAUACCCGCUGAACUUAAGCAUAUCAAUAAGCGGAGGAAAAGAAACCAACCGGGAUUACCUCAGUAACGGCGAGUGAAGCGGCAAA